rnacentral:rRNA from 1 species
GAGAAACCGUUAUCUACAGGAGGGAAGGAAAUUCUAUUGAAAGCUGUUGCAGAGGCCAUUCCAGUUUUUGCUAUGUCUGUAUUCUGCAUUCCGAAGGGAGUGUGUAAAGAUAUUACAGAUGUGAUUGCACAAUUUUGGUGGGGAUAUGAUGAAGAAAAUAAAAAGAUGCAUUGGUUUUCUUGGUGGAAAUUAUGCAUUCCAAAAUGUGAUGGUGGUAUGGGAUUCAGGGAUCUACACUCCUUUAAUUUGGCUUUAUUAGCUAAGCAAUGUUGGAGGCUGAUUACAAAUCCAGAAUCUAUUUGUUCCCAAAUCUUGAAGGCCAAAUACUUCCCAUCCACUGAUUUACUCUUUGCAGGCCCCAAAAAAGGAUCUUCUUUUACAUGGCAGAGUACCAUUGCGGGUCUUGCCACUUUUAAGCGUGGCUAUAUUUGGCGAAUUGGUUCGGGAGAGAAGGUGAAUAUAUGGAAUGAUCCAUGGGUUCCUGCAAGUCCGGACAGGAAGAUUUUAACUCCUCGGGGACACACCGUGAUAUCUAAGGUGGUGGAGCUACUUGAUCCAGUUACAGGACAGUGGGAUGACGACUUGAUCAGAGACAUCUUUAACCCUGUGGAUGUAAGAAGGAUUCUGCAGAUUUCGAUAAACUUUCAAGCCUUUGAUGAUUUUGUUGCUUGGCAUCUUACGAGUUAA